GGAUAUUGGAGCCUAAUCCAACCUGUCGGGUUGGGUUAGGGAGGGUCGACCUUGAUUUGGACCUGGACUUGACCCGAUCCAAUAAAGUCAGGUGCAACGAACCCAUCAUGUCCACACUGUGACUUAAGGCUGGUAAUGGGCUGGGCGGUUUGGCCCUAAAAAAGUAAUGCCUGGGCCUUCGUUAACACGAUUCCACAGUUUGAUUGAGGUGAUAUGUUCCCUAGGUUCAUCCAAUGAAGGAAAAUGGUUUGGAGAGAACAAACAUUUUGUUUAGAGAGAGAGAAAGUCCUGUUAUUAUAUUUUAGAGAGAAAGUGCAAGGAAGAAGCGUACUAUAUAAGGGGAACGAAAGAGAGGAAGAAGAGUAAAAGAUAGCGUUAUAGAGCAUAUACGUGGAAUAAAGAGGGAGGGCAGUGCAAGUGUGGGAGUAUCGGGUGCGCUCCAUGGUGGUCGCACCAUUUUGCGUGCUACUCGUUUUCAUACAUUAACACGAACCUCAAUUGUUUUUUUAAUAUUUGAGGUAGUGUAUGUAGUGGCAGUAUCUACGAACCUCAAUUGUUUCCGGAAUUCAGAUUUCAAUUUUAUCUUUUCCAACAUAAAUUGGAAAUUAUUUCAAACAAAUUUUCGCUAUUUUCCCACCGAAAUACCAAAAAAAAAAGAAAAAAGGAAUUGUUAUUUGUAGCCCCUUCCUUCUCCAUGAUGCAACUUAUUAGGAAGGUUUCUGUGGCUUCGAUUUGCACUGAUCUCCGAUCCUCCUCCUAUACUCUUUUAGGCCUUCUCAUCCAUGCAGGGCGCCACUUUUUCCCUCAUCUUCCACAGGAUGGGUCCAGUAAACAACCAUCUACGAUGAAUUCGAGCCCGAAAAUAAAUGGGCUCAGCGGCUCCGUCCAACCGUUGCCAGAAUCCAGGCCCUUUACACCUAAAUCCAGCAACCGAGUGGUGCUCCGGUGGACAUAAAGCCAACCUACAGAGCCAUAGGCCCCUUGGCCAUAGCCAUGGCCUCUGCCUUGGCGAUGAGGCUUCCAGUUAAAUCUGAGCACACUUAUGCCUUGGCAGCACUACUGAUUAUUUACUUGUUCAUUUUUAUGAUUUCAGUGGAGCUUGUUGUGAUUAUUGUCUUCUUCCCCAAGUUUGUUGCAGGCAUGGUGAUCAUGAAGGGCCUCCUAGGUCUUGGAAUAAGUAAAGAAUCACAAUUGUCAAAAGCAGACAUGAUUGAUUUGAAGAUUUUCUGAUGCCAAAGCUACGAUCAGUGAGUUUUGAGGUGAUGCUUUACUUAUUAUGAUAAGGGUGCAAUCCUCCAGAAAUUCAUUGAGGUUCAUGGGACUACUCCAAUUUCUCUACACAAAGUUGUCAACUGUUUUGUACAAAGAGGCCCUGUUUUACUCUUGCAUACCUUUUAUUGCGUUCUUUGGAGCUUUUGCCUUUGUGCUUUAUCUCUAAGUUCAGUCUUUGAGAGGUGAUCAUUGUUGUGGUAAAAUGGAUUUAGGACCACAACAUAGUAAUAAAAAGACUCAAGACAAUUAGGAGACCAGGAGUUCUUUGAGGUCUGCAUGGUCUAUAUGCACAGCUGAGCAUUGAGCAGUGGUCUAGGUAGGGGGCUAGAGUUGCUGCCUGCACCAACCCCGAUCUUGGUGGUAUUCACCGUUAAUGCCUCCAUGCUUAAGCUCAUGUGUCCAUUUGAGGGCUUUUGACUACGGAGAGUCAUUGCUUGUCUUGAGAUAACUUAUAGCCUUGUAGACUGCUAUUGUCUCGAAGAGCAACAUUGGCAUUCUUACAACUAUGUAUUUGAGAAAAUGUUGGACUUCAAGUGGCAGCUGGCUUUUGCUUUGGGAAUGGAUGUGGCUGCUUGGUUGUACUUGUUCUCUAUCAUCAUAAAUAAUGUUUUUUCACCAUA